rnacentral:rRNA from 1 species
CGGACGGGUGAGUAACGCGUGAGAAUCUACCUUCAGGUCGGGGACAACCACUGGAAACGGUGGCUAAUACCGGAUGUGCCUACGGGUGAAAGAUUUAUUGCCUGAAGCAGAGCUCGCGUCUGAUUAGCUAGUUGGUGGGGUAAAAGCCUACCAAGGCGGCGAUCAGUAGCUGGUCUGAGAGGACGAUCAGCCACACUGGGACUGAGACACGGCCCAGACUCCUACGGGAGGCAGCAGUGGGGAAUUUUCCGCAAUGGGCGAAAGCCUGACGGAGCCAGACCGCGUGAGGGAGGAAGGCCCUUGGGUUGUAAACCUCUUUUGUCAGGGAAGAAAAAAAUGACGGUACCUGACGAAUCAGCCUCGGCUAACUCCGUGCCAGCAGCCGCGGUAAUACGGAGGAGGCAAGCGUUAUCCGGAAUUAUUGGGCGUAAAGCGUCCGCAGGUGGCUCUUCAAGUCUGCUGUCAAAUCCGGUAGCUCAACUACCGUCCGGCAGUGGAAACUGAAAAGCUAGAGAGUCGUAGGGGUAGAGGGAAUUCCCGGUGUAGCGGUGAAAUGCGUAGAGAUCGGGAAGAACAUCGGUGGCGAAGGCGCUCUACUGGACGACAUCUGACACUCAGGGACGAAAGCUAGGGGAGCGAAUGGGAUUAGAUACCCCAGUAGUC